AGUGAACGCUGGCGGUAGGCCUAACACAUGCAAGUCGAACGGCAGCACAGUAAGAGCUUGCUCUUACGGGUGGCGAGUGGCGGACGGGUGAGGAAUACAUCGGAAUCUACUUUUUCGUGGGGGAUAACGUAGGGAAACUUACGCUAAUACCGCAUACCACCUACGGGUGAAAGCAGGGGAUCUUCGGACCUUGCGCGAUUGAAUGAGCCGAUGUCGGAUUAGCUAGUUGGCGGGGUAAAGGCCCACCAAGGCUACGAUCCGUAGCUGGUCUGAGAGGAGGAUCAGCCCCACUGGAACUGAACCACGGUCCAGACUACUACGGGAGGCAGCAGAGGGGAAUAUUAGACAAUGGGAGCAAGCCUGAUCCAGACAUACCGCGUGGGUGAAAAAGGCCUUCGGGUUGUAAAGCCAUUUUGUUGGGAAAGAAAAGCAGCAGGUUAAUACCCAGCUGUUCUGACGGUACCAAAAGAAUAAGCACCGGCUAACUUCGUG
rnacentral:rRNA from 1 species